UCCCUGAUGGCUCAGUGGUAGAGAAUCUGCCUGCCAAGGCAGUAGACACAGGUUUAACCCCUGAUCUGUGAA
rnacentral:tRNA from 1 species